CUUGUACACACCGCCCGUCACAUCACGAAAGUGGGUUGUACUAGAAGCGGCAGGGCUAACCCUUCGGGGGGCAUGUCGUAACGGUAUGAUCCACGAUUGGGGUG
rnacentral:rRNA from 1 species